ensembl:snoRNA SNORA70 Small nucleolar RNA SNORA70
CUGCAGCUAAUAAAGACUCCUUUGCUUAUGAGAGCCCAGUGCGUGAUGGUUGCAAGUAGCAGCCUUCUUGGUAGUGUAUGCAGCCUGUUGCAUAUAUGAGUUAUUCUAAAGAACCUGAAGAUGGCC